GCCUUCGUGGUGUAGUGGUCAGCACGCUCGACCCUAACCGAGAGGUCCGUGGUUCGAUUCCCGGUGAGGGCA
rnacentral:tRNA from 1 species